ACGGCUUACCAAGGCGACGAUGAUUAGGGGCCCUGAGAGGGGGAUCCCCCACACUGGUACUGAGACACGGACCAGACUCCUACCAGAGGCAGCAGUGAGGAAUAUUGGACAAUGGUCGGAAGACUGAUCCAGCCAUGCCGCGUGCAGGAUGACUGCCCUAUGGGUUGUAAACUGCUUUUGUACGAGAAGAACACCCUCUUCGUGAAGAGGACUGACGGUAUCGUACGAAUAAGGACCGGCUAACUCCGUGCCAGCAGCCGCGGUAAUACGGAGGGUCCGAGCGUUAUCCGGAAUCAUUGGGUUUAAAGGGUCCGUAGGCGGGCUAUUAAGUCAGAGGUGAAAUUGUGCAGCUCAACUGUAGAACUGCCUUUGAUACUGAUAGUCUUGAGUUAUGGUGAGGUAGCCGGAACAUGUGGUGUAGCGGUGAAAUGCAUAGAUAUCACAUAGAACGCCGAUUGCGAAGGCAGGUUACCAACCAUAUACUGACGCUGAUGGACGAAAGCGUGGGGAGCGAACGGGAUUAGAUACCCCGGUAGUCCACGCCGUAAACGAUGGAUACUAGCUGUUGGGUUUUC
rnacentral:rRNA from 1 species